GGUGCUGUCUUUGUUUUCUGGAAGUCAAAAUAUGAAAUAUUUUCUUGAUUCCAAAAUGCAUUCUACAUUUAUUUUAUUUUCAAGAUGUAGCUAGCCAUGUAUUUAUUUGGCGUGUAAAGCCAUUUUACAUUAUUCAUGUGGUUGAAGGAAUAAGUUUAGCUGUAUGUGUUGGAGCAUUCAAAUGCAAGUCUCUUUAAGUUAGUAGGUGGUGAGGACUGUAUGCUAUAUAAGACUUUAGAAGAGUUAUUUAAUUGAUAUCGGAUUAUUUAGUGCUCUUCUCACUUGGAAUCCAAUUAAAACAACAGGAAAACAUAUUGCUUCCUAGAUACUAAUUUGAAAAUAGACGAACUUUAUUUAUUUUGAAGUAUUGAUUCUUUGCCAUUUCUUGUAAGUAUCUGGCUUCCUCUGCCUCUAUUAUGCUUUUCAGUUAUAAAUAAAAUGUGCUAAUCUUGUUUUGAUAUUUAAAUCUGUUUAAUGGUUUUAUUUUCUUCCAACGGCCAAUAUGUUUUUCUAACAUUCCAAAUGGCACUUUAAUAUAUACACAACAAUGGUAUGUUGACUGACCUAGAACGUGGAUCAAUAAUGACAAUCCAAAAAAUUAACCUAGUGGGUGAAGAUACUGAUAUACUGUAUUAUAUACAAGGCCAUCUUGAUAUAGUUAAAGCAUUUAACCAAUAUGGAUUUUGCUCAAACCAGACUAAUUUUUUGAUUUUGAUGCAUGGUCAUGUUCAUGUUAUUUCAUUGGCAUUUUGUGAUCUAAAACUGAUCUUAACUGGUAUCAUGUCAAAAUAUUUAAUUGGUCCUGUUGCAUUUUUCUGCCAACACCUUGUAAAUUUCUUUCGGAUUUACAAAUUUCACAAUGUAGAUAGCAUCAGAAAUCUUCAGUGAUCUCAAUUUCAUAUGGUGAAGCACCUUUCUCCAUGCUCAUUUUUUUUCCCCUCUAAAUGAUGGUGUUCUGCAAUUGGAAUUUGGUGAAAUUUACAUAGUGCAUGAAGCUUUAGGAGGUGAAAUGCAAAGAUUUUUUUUUUUUUUUUAUAAAUAAAAAAAAA
rnacentral:misc_RNA from 1 species